rnacentral:rRNA from 1 species
GUGGGGAAUAUUGGACAAUGGGCGAAAGCCUGAUCCAGCCAUGCCGCGUGUGUGAAGAAGGUCUUCGGAUUGUAAAGCACUUUAAGUUGGGAGGAAGGGCAGUAAGUUAAUACCUUGCUGUUUUGACGUUACCGACAGAAUAAGCACCGGCUAACUUCGUGCCAGCAGCCGCGGUAAUACGAAGGGUGCAAGCGUUAAUCGGAAUUACUGGGCGUAAAGCGUGCGUAGGUGGUUGUUCAAGUCUGUCGUGAAAGCCCUGGGCUCAACCUGGGAACUGCCUCCAAAACUGCAUGACUAGAGUACGGUAGAGGGUAGUGGAAUUUCCUGUGUAGCGGUGAAAUGCGUAGAUAUAGGAAGGAACACCAGUGGCGAAGGCGACUACCUGGACUGAUACUGACACUGAGGUGCGAAAGCGUGGGGAGCAAACAGGAUUAGAAACCCCGGUAGUCC